rnacentral:rRNA from 1 species
AUGACAGGAGCCGCCGCCACCGAGCUGAUUCUCCCGGCCCUGCGCGGCGCCUACCAGCGCGCCGGGCACUCCUUCUCCUCCUCCUCCGUCCGCGCGCGGCCGGUGACCGGGACGCACCUCUUCCAGAUCGACGGCUACAAGCUCGUGCACAGGAUGGUCGACGGCUCCUCCAUCAAGUCCCGCAAGUUCCGCGUCGGCGGCAUCGACUGGCAGGCCGCCUACCACCCCCACGCCCGCGGCCUCUGCGUCGGCGCUGGCCUCCACCUCGCCGGGACCAACAACUCCGGCAAGAACUCCACCGCCAUGUGCCAGGUGAGCAUCCUCGACCGCGCGGGGGUGCCGGCGUUCAGCCGCCUCAUCGAGCCGCGCGACUUUCACGGGAUGAUCUACCCUGACCGGUCGUCCUGGAGCGUCGACGUGCACGACUUCGUCAAAAGGGAGGAGCUCCUGAAGUGGGCGGAGGAGCACGUCGACGACGACCGCCUCCGCCUCCGCUAUGAUGUCCUCGUCCUCCGGAUGCGAUCAGAGUCUCCCGUCCGGGGCUACUUGAAGGACUUUUGGGAGAGACUUAAGAACUAA